rnacentral:tRNA from 1 species
GGGCACGUGGCGGAAUUGGUAUACGCGUACGCUUCAGGAGCGUAUGUCCUUACGGACUUGGAGGUUCAAAUCCUCUCGUGCCCA